UGUAUAAUGGGUCAGCGACUUAUAUUCUGUAGCAAGGUUAACCGAAUAGGGGAGCCGAAGGGAAACCGAGUCUUAACUGGGCGUUAAGUUGCAGGGUAUAGACCCGAAACCCGGUGAUCUAGCCAUGGGCAGGUUGAAGGUUGGGUAACACUAACUGGAGGACCGAACCGACUAAUGUUGAAAAAUUAGCGGAUGACUUGUGGCUGGGGGUGAAAGGCCAAUCAAACCGGGAGAUAGCUGGUUCUCCCCGAAAGCUAUUUAGGUAGCGCCUCGUGAAUUCAUCUCCGGGGGUAGAGCACUGUUUCGGCAAGGGGGUCAUCCCGACUUACCAACCCGAUGCAAACUGCGAAUACCGGAGAAUGUUAUCACGGGAGACACACGGCGGGUGCUAACGUCCGUCGUGAAGAGGGAAACAACCCAGACCGCCAGCUAAGGUCCCAAAGUCAUGGUUAAGUGGGAAACGAUGUGGGAAGGCCCAGACAGCCAGGAUGUUGGCUUAGAAGCAGCCAUCAUUUAAAGAAAGCGUAAUAGCUCACUGGUCGAGUCGGCCUGCGCGGAAGAUGUAACGGGGCUAAACCAUGCACCGAAGCUGCGGCAGCGACGCUUAUGCGUUGUUGGGUAGGGGAGCGUUCUGUAAGCCUGUGAAGGUGUACUGUGAGGUAUGCUGGAGGUAUCAGAAGUGCGAAUGCUGACAUAAGUAACGAUAAAGCGGGUGAAAAGCCCGCUCGCCGGAAGACCAAGGGUUCCUGUCCAACGUUAAUCGGGGCAGGGUGAGUCGACCCCUAAGGCGAGGCCGAAAGGCGUAGUCGAUGGGAAACAGGUUAAUAUUCCUGUACUUGGUGUUACUGCGAAGGGGGGACGGAGAAGGCUAUGUUGGCCGGGCGACGGUUGUCCCGGUUUAAGCGUGUAGGCUGGUUUUCCAGGCAAAUCCGGAAAAUCAAGGCUGAGGCGUGAUGACGAGGCACUACGGUGCUGAAGCAACAAAUGCCCUGCUUCCAGGAAAAGCCUCUAAGCAUCAGGUAACAUUAAAUCGUACCCCAAACCGACACAGGUGGUCAGGUAGAGAAUACCAAGGCGCUUGAGAGAACUCGGGUGAAGGAACUAGGCAAAAUGGUGCCGUAACUUCGGGAGAAGGCACGCUGAUAUG
rnacentral:rRNA from 1 species